CAUAUAAUUUGGGACUGAGGGAG
rnacentral:miRNA from 1 species